rnacentral:tRNA from 1 species
GCCGAAGUGGCGGAACCGGUAGACGCGCUGGACUCAAAACCCGGUGCCCGAGAGGGCGUGUGGGUUCAAAUCCCACCUUCGGCACCA